GACAGAGGGUGCAAACGUUGCUCGGAAUCAUUGGGCGUAAAGCGCGUGUAGGCGGCCCGGUAAGUCCGCUGUGAAAGUCGGGGGCUCAACCCUCGAAUGCCGGUGGAUACUGUCGGGCUAGAGUGCGGGAGAGGCGAGUGGAAUUCCUGGUGUAGCGGUGAAAUGCGCAGAUAUCAGGAGGAACACCAAUUGCGAAAGGCAGCUCGCUGGAACGUAACUGACGCUGAGAACGCGAAAGCGUGGGGAGCAAACAGG
rnacentral:rRNA from 1 species